rnacentral:piRNA from 1 species
AAGGAACAAAGAAGGAACUCCGGACCUU